rnacentral:rRNA from 1 species
CGCGUGGUUCUAUUUAGUUGGUUUUUAGAACCGCCGUAAUGAUUAAUAGGGACAGUCGGGGGCAUCUGUAUUCAAUUGUCAGAGGUGAAAUUCUUGGAUCUAUUGAAGACAAACUACUGCGAAAGCAUUUGCCAAGGAUGUUUUCAUUGAUAAGGAACGAAAGUUAGGGGAUCGAAGACGAUCAGAUACCGUCGUAGUCUUAACUAUAAACUAUGCCGACUAGGGAUCGGACGAUGUUAUUUUUUGACUCGUUCGGCACCUUUCGAGAAAUCAAAGUGCUUGGGCUCCAGGGGGAGUAUGGUCGCAAGGCUGAAACUUAAAGAAAUUGACGGAAGGGCACCACCAGGGGUGGAACCUGCGGCUUAAUUUGACUCAACACGGGGAAACUUACCAGGUCCAGACACAGUGAGGAUUGACAGAUUGAUAGCUCUUUCUUGAUUCUGUGGGUGGUGGUGCAUGGCCGUUCUUAGUUGGUGGAGUGAUUUGUCUGCUUAAUUGCGAUAACGAACGAGACCUUAACCUGCUAAAUAGCCCGUUNUGCUCCGGCAGUACGCUGGCUUCUUAGAGGGACUAUCGGCUCAAGCCGAUGGAAGUUUGAGGCAAUAACAGGUCUGUGAUGCCCUUAGAUGUCCUGGGCCGCACGCGCGUUACACUGACAAAGCCAGCGAGUAUUUCCUUAGCCGGAAGGCUUGGGUAAUCUUGUUAAACUUUGUCGUGC